rnacentral:lncRNA from 1 species
GAAACUAAUACAUCAUUGUUUAUUUGCUUGCUUUCUCCCUUCUGCAGUUUUCCAGGUUUGAUUUGGGGACUGGGAGACAGCAGCCUAAACUUGAUCAUCCUUUUGGCAAUUACAGGAUGCUGGAAUCGCUCCUUGAGAAGGCUGGACUUUUACAAAGGCUCUGUCAUCCAUGGAUGUCUGCCCAGAUACUUCUUACAGGAUGCUGCUCUUACAAGCAUAAGUGGAUGUCUUUCGCUAUACACACCUCAGGACAUGAAUGGAUCGAUGGACAGAGUUAAAGACAAUGAGCAAACUGGCCAAUCCAUAUCUGAAUGUCAAACUAUCGACGCCAGAGAAAAAUUCAUGGUAGGACAGGUUAAAAAGAAAAAAAAAAACACUGAAAGAAGAAGCAGGUGUCAGACAUCCCUUUUCCCACCCCUGUUUAUGAAAUUAGGAGCUUCAUCAGGAGGAGAAAAGAGAAAUUAAGCCUAAGAAAAUGGGAAGGAGCAGAGGUUUUACACGAUUCAUGAGGUAGUCAUUUUUUCAAAUAGUGGGUUGGAAUCCUGAAAUAUUAUGUGUGGACCUGGAAGAAAAUGGACUUGAGACUUGCCUGGAUAUCUGUUUACCAUGGUUGAGUGGCCUGGCUACAAUGCUUGGUCCUUGAGGUA